CACCGCCCUGGGGCUGCGUCCCGCGGCCGCCCCGCCCCGCCGAGCCCGGCGGCGCUGCGGGGGAAGCACCGCCCUGUACGAGGCCGAGUCGUGGGCUGAGCCUGGGGCUGAGCUGGGCCUAACCUGGGACAGAGCCUGAGGCUCCAGCGCCCGGGUUUUGCGGCUUGGCUGGCGUCGUGUUCCCGCGGCGGAAUCGCCAGCCGCUCCCUCGGGGUUAAAGGGCAAACAGCCAUUUUGUCUGCUGGAUAGAGAUGUCGUAGGGGAGCGGUCGGGCUGAUUUUUUGGCGUUCGUAGCAGAAGGAGAACGCUAAGUGAAAUUAGCUGUACAAAAUUGGUGUUUUAAAGCUAUUGAGCAAGAGACAAAAUUAACAUCAACAGCAGGUGGCAGUGCUAGCAAGAGCAGUGGUUCUGAUGUGAGUUGUUGGCUGGUGGUUUGUGUAGUUUCAGCUCUUCCGCAAAAGCAGUAGAGUGCCAGGAUCCUGUGUGCAGAGAGAACAAGACCAGCUCCCACUGAUGACUGACCCCUGGAACACCCCUCAAGCAUUGUUGUGAGGUUCAAGUAGAAGCCUGCUGUAUGUUGAUGAAGUUCACCCACUGUGCUUCUUAGAAGAGAAAAUUAGUGAAAUUGGUAAAAAAAAUCAAAGAAGAAAACCUGUAAAGUUCCCAUGCUGUGCCUGUGACACUCACUCUUUACACCUCACCUCCUAAUUCUCUGACACAGAGAUUGACUGGAACACAUUCCCAGCACAGCUCUACAAUAUGUCUCUGGCUUUCAACUCUCUCUGAAGAGAAUGGUACCAGGUUACUGCACUGGUAGCCAGGUCUGUAUGUCUUAGAGAGAAAUCCAGGCUCAGAGAAGGUUGACUGAAGGUAUGUUUCCAAGGCACCAGGCUGGCAGGAUGGUUGUAUCCAUCAGUUGCCCUGUCUAACCUGAAGGCAUACCCAUCAUAUGAGUACACAUAUAUACACAUAUGUCUUGUGGCUGUGAAAAACCACAUGCCUUUCCUGCAGCUUUGCAGAUUGCAUUCUUGUACAUCAGUAUUCAGGUAAGUUGGAAAGCUUUCGCAAGCAUGAAGUGGAACUCGAAAGUAAGUCAAUCUCUUGAAAAGGGCUUUAAAGCAUACUUUGUUUUUUAGGAGUUUUUUUAUUCUUUGGAACAAAAAGUGUGCUGAAUUGUUUUCAGGCAUAUAGGGGUAUAAUUUGUGAGUACAAAGAAAUGCAAGCAAGUUUGUUGACUUAUUGCCGUAGUGAGACAAGUAAUAAUUUUAAUUAGAUUGUAAUGAAAAUUGUUGUGUCAUGUUCCUCCCCCCCUCCCCUAGCGAAUUCAUUAUCUGAUUAGUCAAAAGGGAUAAAUAAUUCCUUUACAUUUGCAUUCCUUUUUGUCAAGCAGUAUGGAUUUUUCCUUCAUAUAUACAAAGAAAUGAAACUGGCUAAUAAUGAAAUCAUUGAGCAUCCUUAGCUAUAAAAAGAACCUUUUAAAUCCAGAACUAGAGGAGGGUUCUGCACACAAAGCAAUCUGCACACAAAACAAUCUGAAUUUCCUAUCAGAGUAACAGAAAUGAGGUGGUCCAAAUACACCUCAUUGGUUCCUUCCCAUUUCUGAUGGCCUUGAAGCAGGCUUAUGCUCUUUGAUACUGGCUUUCCUAUGCUUAUUUUUGUCUAUAGAGGCCUUUUUCUAUCCAGGAGAAGGAUAUUUGCUUCUAUAUACACACCCAUUCCAUCCUGCAGGGUGGGUGAUGUGGCAGUAUCCCAUGGGAGGAGAGGCGGGAUUCAGAAGAUCUGUACAAGAACGUUUUUUAUACAUUCUAGAAUGCAUUUGCAUUUAAGUAUUUAAUCUACAGAGAAUUUUGUGUCUGUAAGCUUUGUCUCCUCCCUUUCUGAAGAGAGUUCUAGAAGAAAAAACUAUAAAUUGAAAAGGAAAUCAGUUGCCCCAUACUCACUAGUCCUUUCAUAAACCCUACUUAUGCUUUUUUAUUAUUUUUUUUUAUUAUGUAUUGGCCAAGUAUUAAAGCACAUCUUUAGUCCAAGCCAAUUUGGAGGGUGUUGGUACAAGGCCACCCCAAAGCAAGUAAUCUCUGAUUUGUAGUAAAGCCAGGUUGUGACUGAUAGUUUUAAAUACAGUGAAGAUCUUGGAGGAGGCAAAACACUUGACUUGAUGUUCAGCUUGAGAAGACUUGCUUAUGGCUUGAACUAAGAUCAAGAAGAAACAGCAGAUGUUAGAGGGGCGAUUACCAUUGUAAUAGAAUCAUUCAGGCAAUCCUAUUUAAUUUGAUUUAUUUUGUUUUCUGUUAUACUCUCAGACACCUUUCAGACAUAUGAUUCUUUUUGUUUGGAGUCUAAUCCGUACUUCAUUAAAUCUAAUCCACUUGUAUUUGAAUAGUUCUGGACAUUUUUUUGCAUUGAUAUAUGUCAUUGGGAUGUAAGAAACUUCAAAAAACUCUUGUCAUCAAGCACAGACCUUUGUUAUUACAGCUGAGCACAUCUUAGAAUCCUGUUCAUCAGCUUAUCCAACUGUAAUUUAAAAACAAACUUAUUUGUUCUCCUGCAUCUGUAGGGUCUAAAUUUGACUCUUCUGAAGGUCAGAGAGGGUAUGAACUGGAGAAUCUGUCCUUUUACCUGAUGUGAAACUAGUGCUAAACAUAACAUCAGUCUUAGAAUAUAUAUGUUUCCACAGAUAGAUAAAUAAGAUUUGAUUAAGAAUUUUUAAAAUUAAUUUGGAUAAUUUGCUUUUUUUCUGAACCUCUGGGAUUCUGUAUAUGACACCUUUUUCUAAGAUAGAGGCAACAUCUUAGUGGCUUUUUCUUUCCCUCUGCUGACUUCUGGUUCACCGAUACACCUUCCCUCAUAGCAAUUUAAAGCACUGCCAACGAAAGAUGCUUUACCAUGUGUUGAAUCUGUCAAGCUUUUAACUAGUUUCUCCUCAGGUGUCCACUGAAGAUGAAGCAGGUUUUGAACAAAUGUGUCUUGGGGACUAUUGGUUAGCUAAUUUUUCAUCUGAGUUUCCAGCUGCACCAGCAACCUGAGUAAGGAAAAAAAGAAUGAUAUUUUCAAGACAAAUUCUCACUGAAGUAGAAUAAGCAAUGCAGCGUUUGCUAUUUGUCUUUUGAGAUAAAUUUAACCACUUACCUUUGCCUGUUGCUUUGUUUUCUCUGUGUAAGUCACCAGCAGUGCAAAAUUUGACUGAAAAUACAGGAAGAGAUCUUUUGAGCACAUUUUCCUCGUACUUCCUAGAAAUUUAUGCUGACUGCUAUUUCUGCCAUAGGGAAUUUCUAAUUUUGAAGCAGUCUUGGGGCAAAAGUGAUUCAUAAUGAGUUGGCAGUGUCUAAUAAACUUAUAAGUAGUUAUGUAUCAUUAUGAGAUAAUAAAGUAAUCAAAUAAUGUGUUUCCAAUGCUGCCAGUAAGAAGCUGCACUAGAAGCCAGGAGGGAGCAUGGCCAGGGCAGGUGAUCUGAACUGGCCGAAGUGGUAUGCCAUUCCACAGAACAUCAUGCUCAGUACAUAGAGUAGAAGUCCUGAUUGCUGCGCAGCGACAGGCUGAAAAUCAGUUGACAGGUGGUGAGCAGUUGUAUUGUGCAUAAAUUUGGUUUCUUGGAUUUUAAUCCCAUUAUUAUUAUUAUUAUUAUUAUUAUUAUUACUAUUAUUAUUAUUAUUACUAUUAUUAUUAUUGUUAAUUAUCCUUAUAUUAUGGUCUUAAUUUUUUCUUUUAUUUCAGUUAUUAAUCUGUUCUUAUGUCAAUCCACCAGUUUUACCUUUUUCUAAUUCUCCUUGCUAUCCAGAGUUGGUUGGUGGUGGGAAGGGAAGUGGGCAAGCGAUUACAUGGUAAUUAGUUGUCCACUGGGGUUUAACCACUGCACGUACUAGUGCCUCCAGGUGAGGCUCUUUUUCAGUAUUAUUAAAUCAACAUUUUCUUACAGUGCCCACUAAAUUGGCUAAAGAAUUCCAGCAAAUAACACACAUCAAAGUCCAGGGAACACUUGACAUGAAGAUUUUAAGUGAGAG